rnacentral:rRNA from 1 species
UACGGGGGGGGCAAGCGUUGUUCGGAAUUACUGGGCGUAUAGGGUUCGUAGGUGGCUCGCUAAGCCAGACGUGAAAUCCCUCAGCUUAACUGGGGAACUGCGUCUGGGACUGGAGAGCUGGAGUUCGGGAGAGGGAUGCGGAAUUCCAGGUGUAGCGGUGAAAUGCGUAGAUAUCUGGAGGAACACCGGUGGCGAAGGCGGCAUCCUGGACCGACACUGACACUGAGGAGCGAAAGCCAGGGGAGCAAACGGG